UACGGAGGGGGCGAGCGUUAUUCGGAAUUAUUGGGCGUAAAGGGCGCGUAGGCGGCUUUGUAAGUCAAAGGUGAAAUCCCUCGGCUCAACUGAGGAACUGCCUUUGAAACUGUAAAGCUUGAGGCCGGGAGGGGGUAGCGGAAUUCCCAGUGUAGCGGUGAAAUGCGUAGAUAUUGGGAGGAACACCAGUGGCGAAGGCGGCUACCUGGACCGGUUCUGACGCUGAGGUGCGAAAGCGUGGGGAGCAAACAGG
rnacentral:rRNA from 1 species